UACGAAGGGGGCUAGCGUUGCUCGGAAUUACUGGGCGUAAAGGGCGCGUAGGCGGAUGUUUAAGUCAGGGGUGAAAUCCCAAGGCUCAACCUUGGAACUGCCUUUGAUACUGGGGAUCUCGAGUCCGGAAGAGGUUGGUGGAACUGCGAGUGUAGAGGUGAAAUUCGUAGAUAUUCGCAAGAACACCAGUGGCGAAGGCGGCCAACUGGUCCGGUGCUGACGCUGAGGUGCGAAAGCGUGGGGAGCAAACAGG
rnacentral:rRNA from 1 species